rnacentral:rRNA from 1 species
UACGGAGGAUCCAAGCGUUAUCCGGAUUCAUUGGGUUUAAAGGGUGCGUAGGCGGAAUGAUAAGUCAGUGGUGAAAGCCUGCAGCUUAACUGCAGAACUGCCAUUGAUACUGUCAAUCUUGAGUACAUUUGAUGUGGGCGGAAUGUGUCAUGUAGCGGUGAAAUGCUUAGAUAUGACAUAGAACACCAAUUGCGAAGGCAGCUGGCUACACGAAUAUUGACACUGAGGCACGAAAGCGUGGGGAUCAAACAGG